rnacentral:tRNA from 1 species
GCCCCGGUAGCUCAGACAGGGAGAGCGCCCGGCUGAAGACCGGGAUGCCGCAGGUUCAAGUCCUGCCCGGGGCACCA